CCCCCCCCCCCCCCCCACACACACACCCUCCAAAACAGGCAUACACACAACUUGGUUAGCUCUCAGUGACUAAUAACCUAAGCUUUAACUUUAUUGCAGUAUCUGUAUUUUGGAGUCUUGUCGAUGGAACGAUUUUGGAGUCUCCUUUCUUGAAGUGCUGCAUUACAUCUUAAAAACAGUUUAAGUCGCUUGAUGAUGUUUUUAUUGUGUGUUCAUGUGUCAAACAUCAACAUACCAUUUUUUGCAAUUUCAAUUCAUACUGCACCUGGCCAGUUGAGCUCCUUUUGUACAUGUCUCAGUCUUUCCUCAUGUGGUGGUUCCCUCUGCUUAUUUCUUGCUUUGGUAACUUUUUUUGUAGCAUCUAACACUUGCUCAUUCCUGGCUUCAGGAGCAGCUCUGUUUCCUCUUUAUUUUGAGAAAUAGGUGUUUUUUUUUCUCCUAGUCUAGGAAUGAGUUUAAUAACACAUCAAAUAGCUUAUCUCAGGUAUGCAGUAUUUCAGCUUUGAGGUGCAGUUCAGUUCAUGGAGAAACACUGAAGGCUGGAAUGACCUUUACAUUGGUUUUGCUCCACUAUUAUCCUACAAAUGCUGUAAUUCUUACAUGCUUGGUUGCUAGUAGUGUUCAGUACAAGCUGCAUGCCAUAUUACAAGUUGACAGCAGUCUGAAUAACCAGGAGAGGUGUUUGUGUGCUUCAGUUUCUUCAGAUCCUUGUUAUCUUGAGGGAGUUCCUGCAAGAUCCUGUCAGCAUCUUCGACAUGCUUUCAGCUGGAGGUCACUCUUUCUGUGUGCCAUUUUGUCGAUGUAAACAGUUUGUUACAGUAAUUGGCAAAGCGAAAAGACAGAGUGGAGUCAUUAAAGGGCCACGCUGUUUCCCCCAUUAUGGAAGCAAGUGUGAUGAAAAAGGUGACACCUAGCACAACACAUGUCUUCACAGUUCACAGCAAAUCUGAUUCCAUGGCUGGAACUUGUAGGAUGCUGUUGGACAUGUUCCUGGGGGCAAGAAGAUCAGUUGAACCUUUCUGGAACAGCACCACGCAUGCACAUCAGGCCACAAACCGUGUACAGUGGAUGAUAAGUAAGAGCACAGAAAGAGAAGGACUAGCAUGCCAAGAUCUGUCAUGAUAGAAAGCAACAUAUGUGCAGACAAGGCACAAGAUCUAGCUCGAGAAGCAUGCUGCGAUCGUCGUCUGUUGGCAUUCUGACCACUGUGGCGUCUUACCUGGGAACAGAAAUGAGUUGGGGGAGGAGGACCAUGAUUUCUCCAUAUCUAAGAAUGCAAGUUGGGUGCAUCAGUGACCACUGAUCAGGCAUGUGCAUCCUGCAUCAGGCCCUCAUCGCCCGUGUUGUGCAAAAGUGAGAAGGUGGUGGUGGGUUUUCAGUUGCAAAUUGUAGGGUUUGGUGGCAGUCGUGCGGUUGCAAGUGUCAGGCUCAGAACUGGAGCUUUCAGUUCAGGCUCCUUGGUGCUUCCAGUCCCAGGCAGACGUGUCCCGGCAUGCGGCCUUGGCUACCUCCCUGCACACGUCUCCAUCCGGCUGUUGAUCAGCCCCCACCAAACCCGCCGGCCCACGGUCUUGCCGCGCGGCCGAGAUAGGGAUAGGUUGUGUGCUGUGUGUUGUCGCCGGCGAGGAGCUUGUGGCCGAACUGAUAGAGCACUAGGCUGGCCUGCCAUUGGCCGCCGGAGGGCAAGGGGGCAGCAUGCUUGGGUUUCUUUAACCUCCGUAAGCUCUGCUUCUUCAACCGUGCUUUGCCUUUGCAGGCCUUGCUGGGUUCGUCACCUGCAUAAUGCAGGAUACAUGGCUGAUGUCUGUAGCUUGCUUAAUUCCCUCUCCAAUUACUACAAUGUCAAACCUUUCUGAUCAUCCGGAUGGAUAAUUGAGUGUGCAUCACUUGGAUAAUAUUGUAAUUA